AGUGAACGCUGGCGGCAGGCCUAACACAUGCAAGUCGAACGGCAGCACAGGAGAGCUUGCUCUCUGGGUGGCGAGUGGCGGACGGGUGAGGAAUACAUCGGAAUCUGCCUAUUUGUGGGGGAUAACCUCGGGAAACCGGGACUAAUACCGCAUACGACCUACGGGUGAAAGCAGGGGACCUUCGGGCCUUGCGCAGAUAGAUGAGCCGAUGUCGGAUUAGCUAGUUGGAGGGGUAAUGGCCCACCAAGGCGACGAUCCGUAGCUGGUCUGAGAGGAUGAUCAGCCACACUGGGACUGAGACACGGCCCAGACUCCUACGGGAGGUAGCAGUGGGGAAUAUUGGACAAUGGGCGAAAGCCUGAUCCAGCCAUGCCGCGUGAGUGAAGAAGGCCCUCGGGUUGUAAAGCUCUUUUGUUGGGAAAGAAAAGCAAUCGGUUAAUACCCGGUUGUUCUGACGGUACCCAAAGAAUAAGCACCGGCUAACUUCGUGCCAGCCGCCGCUGUAAAAC
rnacentral:rRNA from 1 species